rnacentral:rRNA from 1 species
CCUACGGGAGGCAGCAGUCGGGAAUUUUGCUCAAUGGACGAAAGUCUGAAGCAGCAACGCCGCGUGAGGGAUGAAGGCCUUCGGGUUGUAAACUCCUUUUCUCAGGAAAGAUGAUGACGGUACCUGAGGAAUAAGCCACGGCUAACUCUGUGCCAGCAGCCGCGGUAAU